GGGGAUUUAGCUCAGUGGUAGAGCGUUUGCCUAGGAAGCGCAAGGCCCUGGGUUCAGUCCCCAGCUCCU
rnacentral:tRNA from 1 species